GGCGCAUGGGGCGCCCCGGCUCCGCCGGCAGCGCGCCCCCUCCGGCCCCGCCGCGCUGAACGCCCCCCAGCGCCGCGCCUCGAACCCCCGCCCCGAGGCCAUGCCGGUCAUGAAGGGGUUGCUGGCCCCGCAAAACACCUUUCUGGACACCAUCGCCACCCGAUUCGACGGCACUCACAGCAACUUCCUGCUGGCCAACGCACAGGGCCCACGGGGCUUUCCCAUUGUGUACUGCUCUGACGGAUUCUGUGAGCUCACAGGCUACGGCCGUACCGAGGUCAUGCAGAAAACCUGCAGCUGCCGCUUCCUCUAUGGUCCGGAGACCAGCGAGCCAGCACUGCAGAGGCUGCACAAGGCCCUGGAGGGCCAUCAGGAGCAUCGGGCUGAAAUCUGCUUCUAUCGAAAGGAUGGCUCAGCCUUUUGGUGCCUCUUGGACAUGAUGCCCAUCAAGAAUGAGAUGGGAGAGGUCGUGCUUUUCCUCUUUUCCUUCAAGGACAUCACUCAGAGUGGAGGCCCGGGACUUGGCCCCUCAGGAGGCCAUGGUGACAGUAAUCAUGAAAACUCGGGCGGUUUUGGUAGGAGGGGAGCCAGCUCAAGACUUCGAUCUGCCAGGAGGCAGAGCCGUACUGUCCUACACCGGCUGACUGGCCAUUUUGGCCGCCGGGGCCAGGGAGGCAUGAAAACCAAUAAUAACGUGUUUGAGCCAAAGCCAUCAGUGCCCGAGUACAAGGUGGCCUCCGUGGGGGGGUCCCGCUGCCUCCUCCUCCACUACAGCGUCCCCAAGGCCGUGUGGGACGGCCUCAUCCUCCUCGCCACCUUCUACGUUGCGGUCACCGUUCCCUACAAUGUCUGCUUCUUGGGCGAUGAUGACACCCCCAUCACUUCCCGACACACCCUUGUCAGCGACAUCGCCGUGGAGAUGCUCUUCAUCCUGGAUAUCAUCCUGAACUUCCGCACCACCUAUGUGUCCCAGUCCGGCCAGGUGGUCUCUGCUCCUCGUUCCAUCGGUCUUCACUACCUGGCCACCUGGUUCUUUGUUGACCUUAUUGCUGCUCUGCCUUUUGACCUGCUUUAUGUCUUCAACAUCACCGUGACAUCGCUGGUGCACCUUCUGAAGACGGUGCGGCUGCUGCGGCUGCUGCGGCUGCUGCAGAAGCUGGAGCGAUACUCACAGUGCAGCGCCGUGGUCCUCACACUACUCAUGUCCGUCUUCGCGCUCCUCGCCCACUGGAUGGCCUGCAUCUGGUACGUCAUCGGGCGCCGGGAGAUGGAGGCCAAUGACCCGCUGCUUUGGGACAUCGGCUGGUUGCACGAGCUGGGCAAGCGGCUGGAGGAGCCCUACGUCAAUGGCUCGGCGGGCGGCCCGUCGCGGCGCAGUGCCUACAUCGCUGCCCUCUACUUCACGCUGAGCAGCCUCACCAGCGUGGGCUUCGGCAACGUGUGCGCCAACACCGACGCGGAGAAGAUCUUCUCCAUCUGCACCAUGCUCAUAGGCGCGCUGAUGCACGCCGUGGUGUUCGGGAACGUGACGGCCAUCAUCCAGCGCAUGUACUCGCGCCGUUCACUCUACCACCGCCGCAUGAAGGACCUCAAGGACUUCAUCCGUGUGCACCGCCUGCCGCGGCCGCUCAAGCAGCGCAUGCUCGAGUCCUUCCAGACCACGUGGGCUGUCAACAGCGGCAUCGACGCCAACGAGUUACUGCGUGACUUCCCAGACGAGCUGAGAGCUGACAUCGCUAUGCACCUGAAUCGGGAGAUCCUGCAGCUGCCGCUGUUUGCAGCAGCGAGCAGAGGCUGCCUGCGGGCCCUCUCCCUGCACAUCAAGACCUCGUUCUGCGCUCCAGGCGAGUACCUGUUGCGCCGUGGGGACGCCCUGCAGGCACACUACUACGUCUGCUCCGGCUCGCUUGAGGUGCUUCGAGACAACAUGGUGCUGGCCAUCCUGGGGAAGGGGGACCUGAUUGGGGCAGAUAUCCCUGAGCCGGGGCAGGAGCCUGGGUCAGGGGCAGUCCCAAGCUGCGUGCUGAAGACCAGCGCUGACGUGAAGGCACUGACCUACUGUGGCCUGCAGCAGCUGAGCAGCAGAGGGCUGGCUGAGGUCCUGAGACUCUAUCCUGAGUACGGGGCUGCCUUCCGGGCUGGCCUGCCCCGGGACCUCACCUUCAACCUGCGCCAGGGCUCUGACACCAAUGGCCUCAGCCGCUUUUCCAGAUCUCCUCGCCUCUCCCAGCCCCGCUCUGAAAGCCUUGGCUCCUCCUCAGACAAGACCCUACCAUCCAUCACAGAGGCCGAGACUGGGGUGGAGUCUGGGGGUGGUUCCAGGCCCCGCCGGCCCCUCCUGCUGCCCAACCUCAGCCCAGCGCGGCCCCGGGGCUCCCUGGUCAGCCUCUUGGGCGAGGAGCUGCCCCCAUUCUCAGCCCUUGUCUCCUCCCCUUCCCUGUCCCCAUUCCCUUCCCCUGCCCUGGCUGGCCGGGGCCACAGCCCCUCCCCUCAUGGCCCCCCCAGGGGUUCUGCUGCCUGGAAGCCCCCCCAGCUUCUCAUUCCCCCACUGGGAACCUUUGGACCUCCGGACCUCAGUCCCCGGAUAGUGGAUGGCAUUGAGGACUCUGGCAGCACAGCGGAGGCCCCUACCUUUCGGUUCAGCAGGAGGCAUGAGCACGCUAGGCCCUGCUCACAGGCCCCUCCUUCAGGGACCAGGCCCAGCCAGGAACUGGCCACUGAGGCUGAGGAGAUGAAGGAAAAGGUCUGCAGGCUAAACCAGGAGAUCUCCCGCCUCAACCAGGAAGUGUCUCAGCUGAGCCGGGAGCUUCGACACAUCAUGGGCCUGCUACAGGCUAGGCUGGGUCCCCCAGUCCACCCAGUAGUCUCGGCUCGGCUCCCAGACCCUCCUGGUCCCCAGCUGAGGCCUCCACGCAUCUCACCCUGUCUAUCUGGACCACCGCCCAGCCUCCAGGAUACUACUUUUGCUGAGGUCCACUGCCCAGCCAGUGUGGGGACAGCAGAGAUGGGGGCCGCCCCCUCCAACCUGAGGCUCUCCGUGCUGUCCCCCUUCCCCUCAGAGCCUGAGCCUCUGGGACCUUCCCCAGUGCCAGAGGCCCCAUCCCCGACCCCAAGCCUCAUGCAGCACAGCUUUCGGUCCAGGUCAGACACGUUCCACUGACCCUGGCCCUGGGCCCAGGCCCGUCUGGGGUGGGCACUGCUGCUUGCCAUCCAGGGAGGGACUGGGCCCCUUGGCCUCCUGCCUCCGGUCAACAGCCACCGGCUGGUCUGGUUGGCUCUGCAUUCUCUGGACUUUUUAACAAAACCUGGUUACUUCGGACCCUCUUCCCUUUUCUAAACCUUCCCGUAUCCUUCCCCUCUGUGAGGGGGAGCCACCUGAGGCUGUGGAACCCAACAGGCAUGAGACAGAAUGCAGUGCCGAUCCGGCUGGGCAGAUGACAUGUCCUGCUUUCUCCCCAGGAUCUGGAGGCAGGCUGUCCCUGAAGGUGGUCUUUUCUGCUGCCAGCAACUUGAAACAGUCCCCACGGCACUCCCUACCCCUCCCCUCACCAGACCUCUUCUGAGCCUGUUCUCCCCACACCCA